UACGAAGGGGGCUAGCGUUGUUCGGAAUCACUGGGCGUAAAGGGCGCGUAGGCGGCUUUAUAAGUCGGGGGUGAAAGACUGUGGCUCAACCACAGAAUUGCCUUCGAUACUGUAGAGCUUGAGACCGGAAGAGGUAAGUGGAACUGCGAGUGUAGAGGUGAAAUUCGUAGAUAUUCGCAAGAACACCAGUGGCGAAGGCGGCUUACUGGUCCGGUUCUGACGCUGGGGUGCGAAAGCGUGGGGAGCAAACAGG
rnacentral:rRNA from 1 species